UUUGGGGGGGGGGGGCCAUACAUGCAAGUCGAGCGGUAGCACAGGGAGCUUGCUCCUGGGUGACGAGCGGCGGACGGGUGAGUAAUGUCUGGGAAACUGCCUGAUGGAGGGGGAUAACUACUGGAAACGGUAGCUAAUACCGCAUAACGUCUACGGACCAAAGUGGGGGACCUUCGGGCCUCAUGCCAUCAGAUGUGCCCAGAUGGGAUUAGCUAGUAGGUGGGGUAAUGGCUCACCUAGGCGACGAUCCCUAGCUGGUCUGAGAGGAUGACCAGCCACACUGGAACUGAGACACGGUCCAGACUCCUACGGGAGGCAGCAGUGGGGAAUAUUGCACAAUGGGCGCAAGCCUGAUGCAGCCAUGCCGCGUGUGUGAAGAAGGCCUUCGGGUUGUAAAGCACUUUCAGCGAGGAGGAAGGGUUCAGUGUUAAUAGCACUGUUCAUUGACGUUACUCGCAGAAGAAGCACCGGCUAACUCCGUGCCAGCAGCCGCGGUAAUACGGAGGGUGCAAGCGUUAAUCGGAAUUACUGGGCGUAAAGCGCACGCAGGCGGUUUGUUAAGUCAGAUGUGAAAUCCCCGCGCUUAACGUGGGAACUGCAUUUGAAACUG
rnacentral:rRNA from 2 species